UUGUGCCCUAGGACAGAGGCAGAGGGAGAUGUGUCAGAAGAUGGACACCUGACUGACCAGUCAACUCUAGCUUUGUGGACUCUGACUUAAGGCGCCCAGUUUCUCUCACCACAUUCUACUGGGACUUCCUGUGGCUACUGUUGAGGCGACCAGCCACACAACGCUGCUAAUGAGCAGUAUUUCAUGUAGGCAAGGUGAAAAAGAUGGCUAAGACGCAGUACUGCUGCUUGCUGACAGCUGGGCCUGACCACGGAGAGAGCGUUACCCUUUGGAAUAAUCACCAACACUUUUAAAAGCCCGACCAUUGAAGGUAGGCAGUGACUACUAAAACUCCUUGAGAACAGUGCCGAAUAAAGAACUACUCACAGAAAAGAGCAUGUUCUUCUUAUCUUGGUUGACAGCCCGUGGGUCAGGGACAGGGUCCGUGUGCUUGAUGACAGAGACAGAUUCACCUAGGCAGGUAGUGAGACAGGACAGUUAGCUGUGUGCUGUCCAUGCCAGACCUGGAGAGCUCCUCCCUGCCAGCUCAGCCCUCUCCACAGCAUGCCCGGUACGGGAAAGGGACAAAAGGCACACUUCAUUCAAAGGAAGUAACAUAGCCUUGACUGACAGAAACUAAUUCUAGAGGAAAGAAUUACUGUGAGGAUUAAAAUGAAUACAAUUUCAAAAUACAGGAACUUAACUUUGAAGUAAAAUCCCAGUCAACUGCCUUUAUUUUCUGGAGUCACUACUCAAAUUUAGUUUAUUUUCAGUAUCAUUUCAUACUGGACACAUUUAUUGUGUGUGUGUACAAUACUUAAACUGCAAUUUGCAGUUGUACUGCCAAGAUCACAUGGUGUCAAAGACUAACUUUUAGAACUUUUAAAAUAUCUUAAGUUUGGCUUCAAACUCAGGGUCGAUCUGAGUCGCUCCAACUGUUUACCUCAAGUUACACUGCAGCAAACUUCACUCUCAGUGCUCCAUAAAGGAAUCGAAUUCUCAACCUGGCCUAACACUACAGUAUGAUUAUUUAACAAAAGCAGACAACCAAGAACCUCUGUGAAGUUUUAAGACGGCAGUUAGUUCCAAAGGGCACAAUGAGCAUUUCAUACACACAACCUGCCCGUUUCCCCAACAUUUUAUGGCUUCAUUAGUUUCCAGCUUUUCGCUGCUAAUGGGAGUUUUAAUAGACAAGCUAUUCAUAAGGAAACAAUAAGAAACAGAGGCCCAGGUUACUCACAUCACUACCUUUAUAAUACUAGUUGCUUUUAAAAACUGGUAAUCAGAUAGAAAAUCUUGAAAAAACCUUUACAUUUCAUAUUUAUUCACAAUUUAAUUCAGGUUAGUAUUGUAUUAAAGUUAAUCUUCUGAAAACCUUACUUCCAGUUAAUAGGAACCCUCCACCCUAGACUGUGCCUUUAUUAAACAAAAAUGGGAAAAUGUUCCAAACAAUCCAGGUAGUAGAAUAUCUGCCAACUUUUUUGUGCUCUAACUUUUGUUAAUUGUACAUUUGAUUAUUGCGAAGCACGUUAGAUGUGAGAUUAGCAUUUCUCCAAAGAAAAUACAUACAGUCCUGGAAACUAUAAUGGCCUGGAAAAAGGACGCCAAGUAAUAAUUCACUUUCCACAAAAUAAGAAGGUAACGAACGCUUUGACGUUACGAUUACUAUUUCUGCUGUUGAAGGGAUUUAUAACCUUUUGAUAAAAGUGAAAACAUAAUAAUGGUUUCAUUUUUCACUUUUAAAUAAAAACUAAUUUCUGAAGAAAAUUAAAAGCUAACUAAAUUAGUGCCUUAUGAGAUGACGGCCAAGUUUGUUUUGUUCUUAAAUCAUCGGGCUGCGUUUCCCCCUUCAUGCCUCAAGCCCCGUAUAUUGGCAAAAAGCCUAACUGAUCAAGCACUAAGAAAUAAAUACCGUAGAGAAGGUUAAGAUGGGAUACCAUAAAAGGGACAGUCAGGCAAGAGUCAACCUAUUCGCAUGAAAUAUGGAAGAGGCUCCAGAAUCUAAUGACCUUCCAAUACACAAUAUUUACCUGUAAGAAUCGACUGGUCUACUCUCAGAGUUGUAGAUUUGAUAGAAGUUAGUCUUAUAUCAGCUGGAACUUUGUCACCAACUAGUUGAGGGGAAAAGGCAGGUAAAAUAAGCAACUUUGGCAAUCAUGUUACAUAAAGAAGAGUCUGUCUGCAAAUUUAACACAUUUUUAAAAGAAAACAAAAAGUAUACAUACAGUGCAAAUAUACAAAAAUCUGUUAAAACAAGUGAGAUAAUUAACUUAUCCGAGGGCCAUAAAAACUCUAAGUGGGUAGAUACAAGUUCUGAGUUACAGAGGAAGGAAGAGAAUAAGGAAAACCUCCAAGUGCAUGUUAUUUUUUUAAGAGUUUAACUAUAUAUGCCCAGACAGGCCUCCAGGCUUUCACUUUGAAGACUACUUUUCUGUUUAGCAAUAUUAAGUAACUUACAUAGUAUUUUUCUUAGGACUUAUUACAUACAUACAAGGGGGUGAGUUAAGAGAGAUGCCAAAACAACUACACAGAGAUGAUCACUUUUUACCUAUCAAACCGACAAACUUGAAAGAGUUGAGAAAAUACACCAGGUUAGCAGAACAGGAUAACCAUAAAGUCUAGACACUGCGCAGUUUUAUUCAGUUAAGAGACCAGAGAGACAAAUCACCAGGAAGUCCCAUCAGUGUGUGCAGUGAUGAAUGAGAGUUGUGACCGUGACUGCUGCAAAUGCUGGAUAUAUGUCACUAACCACACCCCGUACUGUAAUUUAGUAUGAUUGAGUAUUUCUAACUCACCCCUGUUCCCAGACUUCAUGGCCACCCCAUGUAUGCUGCCAAGUAUGAAGGUAACUUUUACAAACUCUGGAGGGCAAUUUGACAGUAUUUAUCAAAAUUGCACAUGUGCCAUUUUUUAACCUACAAAUUCCAGAAUUUAUUCUGUAGAUAUGCUCAACAAAGUGUGGUUGUUCACAGCGUAAGUUUUGGUUAACAGUAGAAAGAUGAGGCAACUGUAUCCAUACUAAAGUGAAAUGUAAGAUGCACGUGUAUUAUAACUGGGGGAAAAACGUACAAAACAUGAAGUAUACCGGGCUACCACUGGUAUCAGGAAGUUGCUCUGGGCAGGUGUAACACAACUGCUAACACUGGGAAGCUGGGGCAUGGGAGGGGGGCCAACUUUAUACCUUGUACCCUUUGGUCCCUUUGGAAUUAUCAAAUCAAUGAACAAAGCUCUACAAUAACCUCUUUUCUGGCCCAAACAGUUCCUUUAAUAGCUCUUCAAGGGCCCACUUCUGAGCCCUUUCCUGAUCUGUAUAAAGAUGCAACCACGCAGACCCGGUAACACAUAAAGCCAAUGCUUCACACGCCCUUUAGGAACAGUGCCCAGCACACUGUCCAUGGCCCAGCUCUGCUGACUGAGUGUACAUCUGGACCACAGCAAUUGGACAUUAAGUGAACAACAGCUUACCCUGUCUUUCUGAAAGGAACUCAACGAAAAUAAUGAUUUCUACUGCUAUCUGGAUACCGGCGUCUCAAACCCGCAACAUUGUGAGGAUGGCGCAGGACAAGGCCACGCUUCCUUCUGUUGUACAUGGGUGGCCUUGACUCUAAGCCAACUCGACAGCAACUAACACCACUUAUCUGGAUACGGUUAUCUCAGACCUUCAACUCUAACUAGCCCUGUGCUCCCAUCCUUCCCACUGAGAAACAACUCCACGUGGCAGGGAGGAGAUUAAAAGAAAACACACGCUCAACACCUUAUUUGGUCAUACCUACUUGCUUCUAUUUCUCUGAUCAAUGGUUAUCAUGUUUAACCAUGUUCCAUCCAACACUAUGUAAAUUGCUUAUACCAGGCAGUUUUUAACUUAAUCAUACUGUUUACCUGUACUUUAAUUUUUAAAGCUAUUGGAAAGGACUACUGGGGAGGAGGGCAAACAAAACCCCUGAAAUGAUAUACAAAAUUUUGAGUAUUUGUCUUUGGGGAGAGUUCAUAGAUUUUUAUUAAUUCUCCAAGGGUCUAUGAUUGAGAACCGCUGCUCUAGAGCCCUGCUUCCAAGCAUGGUCCUCUCGGGAGCCUGUUAGAAAUGCUGAUCACCAGGCUCCACCCCAGACUUACAGACCCAAAUCUGCAUUUUAAAAGGCUCCCCAACCAAUUCCUAUGCACAGGAAGUUAUAGAAGCACUGUGAGGCAAACUACAGGCACUGGCAGACCAAAUCCAUGUCCUGUUUUAUUUCUUUUGUUUAUAAAACAGCCCUUGAGCUAAGAAUGAUUUACAUUUUUAAAGAACUGUCAGAAAUUUUUUUUUUUUUUUGCUACAGAGACUGUACCAGGCCCACAAAGCCCAGAGUAUCCGCUAGCUGGUCCUUUAUAGAAGAGCACACACACUCUGCCCUUCAGCAUAGAAUUGACCCAGUAUUCAAGUCUGUAAGCUGGGUGGGCAGGCAAGGAUGUACUAGCUGAAUGCUCAAAGCCAGGCCACUCCAAUCCCAACAGCUUUCUAAAAGCAGGAAAAGUUCACCUGAACUCAUGGCCCAGGCCAAAAAAUGCUAUAAAAACCCAAACCAAACCCACUGCCGUCAAGUUAAUUCCAACUCAUACGGAACCUUUGGAAACCCUGGUGGCAUAGUGGUUAAGACCUACGGCUGCUAACCAAAAAGGCAGCAGUUUGAAUCCGCCAGGUGCUCCCUGGAAACUCUAUGGGGCAGUUCUACUCUGUCCUAUAGGGUUGCUAUGAGUCAGAAUAGACUCGACGGCACUGAGUUUAUGGGAGCGACCCUUAGGGCUGAGCAGAACUGCUACAAGGCUGUACUCUUUAUGUGAGCAGACUGCCACAUCCUUCUCCCUCAGAGCGGCUGGUGGGUUCAAACAUGAACCUUUUGGUUAGCAGGAGAGCACUUUUAACCAUUGUGCCGCCAGGGCUCCUUUUCAGAGCCAGAAAGCCCCUUAAAAAAGUACUGAUUCUGUUACCAUACUCAUCAGAUAUCAUGAAAAAUUAGGAUAAUAAUCCAGGUUUUCUUACAUGAAUUGAGUAGUCUAUUUCGCAGGCUUGUCUUUCCUCUUCCUCAACUGCUUGGAAAAGCCACUUCACAGAUGUUGCUAAACCUCAUUCCUGCAAGUUGAUUAUCAGAAGUGAAACUCUUCUUCCUUUAUUUAGCCACCAGGUUUAAAAAUGUUUCCUUUUUAUUCUUGAAAAAUCCUGAAACUGCUGGCACUACUGGUGAGCAUUUAGUCUUCAUCUUUGGAAACAUAAAAUUACCUUCUUACAGAAGCCGUGCAAUUCUGUGUUAAGACUGUGCCAUCUUCGUCACUUACAUAACCUUAAAGCGAUCUGUGUCAGAGUCUACAGCAGGACAGAAGUCAUCAGAGGAUACUACGUCCUCGUGCUAGUCAUCAACUCCAGGUUACCACGAUACUUGAAGUUUGUUUUAAACACUCCUGAGAACUAAGCCCUUGAGAAAUCAAUAAAUAAUCCCCUGGGGAAUAUACCAAAACCCCCCAAAGUCUAAAAUUAAGACUUACAUAGCUAUUAUAAAAGUCUUGACUAGCUUUUAUAUUAUUACAGAUAAUACAGAAAGCCUAAAAAUGCUGAUGUUCAUUUCUCAUACAAUUAUAUCUGCUUUUAGUUUUUGGUUUCCAUCUAGUCACCCAGAGAAAUAUUUUCCUGGCAUUAAGAUAAUGCAAAAUUACCGUAACUUCAGAAGAUGAAUGUGUGGGUCUCUGCCAUUUUUAUUUGCCAAAUAAAUUUUAUCUGGCUCCUGCAUUCUAAGUACUUUCAAAGUUUACAUAUUUGCCGUGCGUACUUAUACAAUUUCUCCUUCGAAAGGCUAUUAGCUCAUACAGCCCAACACCUAAAAUCUCAUUUCCUCAACUCCCUGCACCCCUCCCCCCAAAAAAUUUAGUCCAAUCUAGCCUUCAGAAAAGCUCAGCAGAACCACCCUAUCAGGUGUCUUCACAAAGCUUUAUCAUCCCAGUCAGAAGAUGACCCGAACACUGCAAAUGAUGACUACAAAAAGUCAGUUCCUUUCUGCAAGAAUGAAAAUAGCAAGUCAGCGUUUGCCUUCAUCUUCAAAAUAGUUUGAUUUUCUCCAGAUUCUCAGAUUUUCAGAAAGCUCCCCACACCCCGAUUUCAUAAAAGCUACCAUGUCUAAAAGUACAAUUCAUGCCAUUUAGCCCUCUGGGCUAUGUGGAGAGUUAAGAUUUCAACUGACCAAAAAAAUUUAGAUCUUUAGAACUGAAGUUCAUUUCUAGUUUCACAGAACUGAAUU